rnacentral:rRNA from 1 species
AGGGCACGGGGGGGAUGCCUAGGCGUCAUCAGAUGACGGGCGUGUUGGCUGCGAUAAGUCCGGGGGAGCUGCCCAAAGAGCGUCGAUCCCGGAGUACCCGUCGGAGACGCGGGGAACUGAAACAUCUCAGUACCCGGAGGAAAAGAAAUCAACCGAGAUUCCGCAAGUAGUGGCGAGCGAACGCGGAGGAGCCUGUACGUGAUAACUGUCGAGAUAGAAGAACAAGCUGGGAAGCUUGACCAUAGUGGGUGAUAGUCCCGUAUUCGAAAUCUCAAUAGUGGUACUAAGCGUACGAAAAGUAGGGCGGGACACGUGAAAUCCUGUCUGAACAUGGGGGGACCACCCUCCAAGCCUAAGUACUCGUGCAUGACCGAUAGUGAACCAGUACCGUGAGGGAAAGGUGAAAAGUACCCCUGGCGGGGAGUGAAAUAGUACCUGAAACCGUGCGCCUACAAUCCGUCAGAGCCUUGUGCCAGCUUGCUGGUGGGGGUGAUGGCGUGCCUUUUGAAGAAUGAGCCUGCGAGUUUGCGUUGUGUGGCGAGGUUAACCCGUGUGGGGUAGCCGUAGCGAAAGCGAGUCCGAACAGGGCGUGUGAGUCGCGUGCUCUAGACCCGAAGCGGGGUGAUCUACCCAUGGCCAGGGUGAAGCGCCGGUAAGACGGCGUGGAGGCCCGAACCCACCAGGGUUGAAAACCUGGGGGAUGAGCUGUGGGUAGGGGUGAAAGGCCAAUCAAACUCCGUGAUAGCUGGUUCUCCCCGAAAUGCAUUUAGGUGCAGCGUCGUGUGUUUCUUCCCGGAGGUAGAGCACUGGAUGGUCUAGGGGGCCCACAAGCUUACCGAAAUCAACCAAACUCCGAAUGCCGGGAAGUGAGAGCGCGGCAGUGAGACUGCGGGGGAUAAGCUUCGUAGUCGAGAGGGAAACAGCCCAGAUCACCAGCUAAGGCCCCUGAAUGACCGCUCAGUGGUGAAGGAGGUAGGAGUGCAAAGACAGCCGGGAGGUUUGCCCAGAAGCAGCCAUCCUUGAAAGAGUGCGUAAUAGCUCACUGGUCAAGUGAUUCCGCGCCGACAAUGUAGCGGGGCUCAAGCGCACCGCCGAAGCCGCGGCAGCACCACGGACACCUAACGGUGGUGGUGCUGGGUAGGGGAGCGUCAUGCGGGUGGUGAAGCGGCGGAGUGAUCCAGCCGUGGACGCCACACGAGUGAGAAUGCAGGCAUGAGUAGCGAAAGACGGGUGAGAAACCCGUCCGCCGGAUGACCAAGGGUUCCAGGGUCAAGCUAAUCUGCCCUGGGUAAGUCGGGACCUAAGGCGAGGCCGACAGGCGUAGUCGAUGGACAACGGGUUGAUAUUCCCGUGCUCGUGUAGGCGCGUCCAUGGCGAGCCCAGGUGUGCUAACCGCCCGAACCCCAUGACUCCUUCGGGAGUCGGACGGGGGAGCGCGGGAUCCUGCCUGGUAGUAGCCAAGCGAUGGGGUGACGCAGGAGGGUAGCUCCGCCACGCGGUGGUUGUCGUGGUGUAAGCCUGUAGCCCGAGUCCUAGGUAAAUCCGGGGCUCGUGAAGGGUGAGAGGUGAUGCGUAGCCGAUUGAGGCGAAGUAGAGUGAUCCCGUGCUGUCGAGAAAAGCCUCUAGUGAGUGCUGUUGCGGCCCGUACCCUAAACCGACACAGGUGGUCAGGUAGAGUAUACCAAGGCGCUUGAGAGAAGUGUCCUGAAGGAACUCGGCAAAUUGCCUCCGUACCUUCGGAAGAAGGAGGCCCUCAUCGCGGGCAACCGCUUUGAGGGGGCACAGGCCAGGGGGUAGCGACUGUUUAGCAAAAACACAGGGCUCUGCUAAGUCGGCUUCAAGACGACGUAUAGGGUCUGACGCCUGCCCGGUGCCUGAAGGUUAAGAGGAGGAGUGCAAGCUCCGAAUUGAAGCCCAGGUAAACGGCGGCCGUAACUAUAACGGUCCUAAGGUAGCGAAAUUCCUUGUCAGGUAAGUUCUGACCCGCACGAAAGGCGUAACGAUUUGGGCGCUGUCUCGGAGAGGGGCUCGGUGAAAUAGACAUGCCUGUGAAGAUGCGGGCUACCUCCACUGGGACAGAAAGACCCUAUGAAGCUUCACUGUUUCCUGGGAUUGGCUUUGGGUUCUUCCUGCGUAGCUUAGGUGGAAGGCGAGGAAGGCCCCCUUCCGGGGGGGCUCGAGCCAUCAGUGAAAUACCACUCUAGGAGAGCCGAAAUUCUAACCUUGCGCCACUCACAGGCCAAGGGACAGUCUCAGGUAGACAGUUUCUAUGGGGCGUAGGCCUCCCAAAGGGUAACGGAGGCGCCCAAAGGUUCCCUCAGCCUGGUCGGCAACCAGGUGUUGAGUGCAAGUGCACAAGGGAGCUUGACUGUGAGAGUGGCAGCUCGAGCAGGGACGAAAGUCGGGACUAGUGAUCUGGCACUGGCAUGUGGAAGCGGUGUCACUCAACGGAUAAAAGGUACCCCGGGGAUAACAGGCUGAUCUUCCCCAAGAGUUCACAUCGACGGGAAGGUUUGGCACCUCGAUGUCGGCUCUUCGCCACCUGGGGCGGUAGUACGUUCCAAGGGUUGGGCUGUUCGCCCAUUAAAGCGGUACGUGAGCUGGGUUCAGAACGUCGUGAGACAGUUCGGUCCCUAUCUGCCGUGGGUGUAGGAGUCUUGAGAGGAUUUGUCCCUAGUACGAGAGGACCGGGAUGGACGAACCUCUGGUGUGCCAGUUGUCCCGCCAGGGGCACGGCUGGUUGGCUACGUUCGGAAGGGAUAACCGCUGAAGGCAUCUAAGCGGGAAGCCCGUUCCAAGAUGAGGUCUCCCACCCUUUU